rnacentral:rRNA from 1 species
UGGGGAAUAUUGGGGCAAUGGGGGCGCAAGCCUGACCCAGCAACGCCGCGUGAAGGAAGAAGGCUUUCGGGUUGUAAACUUCUUUUAAGAGGGAAGAGCAGAAGACUGUACCUCUAGAAUAAGCCACGGCUAACUACGUGCCAGCAGCCGCGGUAAUACGGAGGGUGCAAGCGUUAUCCGGAUUUAUUGGGUUUAAAGGGUGCGUAGGCUGUAAGUCAAGUCAGCGGUGAAAAGUCGGGGCUAAACCUUGAGGGUGCCGUUGAAACUGACAUACUAGAAUGUGGAUGAUGCCGGCGGAAUGUGUCAAGUAGCGGUGAAAUGCAUAGAUAUGACACAGAAGGCCGAUUGCGAAGGCAGCUGGCAAAGGCACGAUUGACGCUGAGGCACGAAAGUGCGGGGGAUCGAACAGGAUUAGAUACCCUGGUAGU